UACGGAGGGUGCAAGCGUUAUCCGGAUUCACUGGGUUUAAAGGGUGCGUAGGUGGGCAGUUAAGUCAGUGGUGAAAUCUCCGGGCUCAACCCGGAAACUGCCAUUGAUACUAUCUGUCUUGAAUAUCGUGGAGGUAAGCGGAAUAUGUCAUGUAGCGGUGAAAUGCUUAGAUAUGACAUAGAACACCAAUUGCGAAGGCAGCUUACUACCCGAAUAUUGACACUGAGGCACGAAAGCGUGGGGAUCAAACAGG
rnacentral:rRNA from 1 species